GACGAACGCUGGCGGUGCGCCUAACACAUGCAAGUCGAACGAGAGAGAGGGAGCUUGCUUCCUCAAUCGAGUGGCGAACGGGUGAGUAACGCGUGAGGAACCUGCCUCAAAGAGGGGGACAACAGUUGGAAACGACUGCUAAUACCGCAUAAGCCCACAGGUCGGCAUCGACCAGAGGGAAAAGGAGCAAUCCGCUUUGAGAUGGCCUCGCGUCCGAUUAGUUAGUUGGUGAGGUAAUGGCCCACCAAGGCAACGAUCGGUAGCCGGACUGAGAGGUUGAACGGCCACAUUGGGACUGAGACACGGCCCAGACUCCUACGGGAGGCAGCAGUGGGGAAUAUUGCACAAUGGGGGAAACCCUGAUGCAGCGACGCCGCGUGGAGGAAGAAGGUCUUCGGAUUGUAAACUCCUGUUGU
rnacentral:rRNA from 1 species